rnacentral:rRNA from 1 species
ACUCCUACGGGAGGCAGCAGUGGGGAAUCUUCCGCAAUGGGCGCAAGCCUGACGGAGCAACGCCGCGUGAGUGAUGAAUGCCUUCGGGUUGUAAAACUCUGUCUUCAGGGAAGAAAAAAAUGACGGUACCUGAGGAGGAAGCCCCGGCUAACUACGUGCCAGCAGCCGCGGUAAU